AAUAAGUGUAGCCGUGAAUAUCCGUGCUCAACGUUUGACCGUCCGUCUUAUUUGAAAAAUUUGUGAAAAAUUUAAAAAUAUUUAGUCAUACAUAAAGUAUUAUUAAUGUUUUAUCAUCUAAUAGUAAUAAAAAUACUAAUCAUAAAAAAUUUCAAAUAAGACGAACGGUCAAACGUUGAACAUAAAUAGUGCAAAACUGCACUUAUU
rnacentral:pre_miRNA from 1 species